rnacentral:misc_RNA from 1 species
GAUGAAGAACGCAGUGAAAUGCGAUAAGUAGUGUGAAUUGCAGAAUUCAGUGAAUCAUCGAAUCUUUGAACGCACAUUGCGCCCCCUGGUAUUCCGGGGGGCAUGCCUGUUCGAGCGUCAUUACAACCCUCAAGCUCUGCUUGGUAUUGGGCCCCGCCAGUUCUGGCGGGCCCUAAAGUCAGUGGCGGUGCCUUCCGGCUCCGAGCGUAGUAAUUCUUCUCGCUCUGGAGACCCGGUUGUGUGCUUGCCAACAACCCCCAAUUUUUUAAGGUUGACCUCGGAUCAGGUAGGGAUACCCGCUGAACUUAAGCAUAUCAAUAAGCGGAGGA